rnacentral:rRNA from 1 species
GAAGGGGGCUAGCGUUGCUCGGAAUUACUGGGCGUAAAGGGCGCGUAGGCGGGUUGCUAAGUCAGGGGUGAAAUCCUGGAGCUUAACUCCAGAACUGCCUCUGAUACUGGUGACCUCGAGUCCGGRAGAGGUGAGUGGAACUCCGAGUGUAGAGGUGAAAUUCGUAGAUAUUCGGAAGAACACCAGUGGCGAAGGCGGCUCACUGGCCCGGUACUGACGCUGAGGCGCGAAAGCGUGGGGAGCAAACAGGAUUAGAUACCCUGGUAGUCCACGCCCUAAACGAUGGAGGCUAGCCGUUGGCGAGCUUGCUCGUCAGUGGCGCAGCUAACGCUUUAAGCCUCCCGCCUGGGGAGUACGGUCGCAAGAYUA